rnacentral:rRNA from 1 species
GACGAACGCUGGCGGCGUGCCUAAUACAUGCAAGUCGAACGCUGAAGGAGUAGCUUGCUCUUCUUGCUGAUUUGCGAACGGGUGAGUAACGCGUAGGUAACCUGCCUGGUAGCUGGGGAUAACUAUUGGAAACGAUAGCUAAUACCGCAUAACAGUCGAUGUUGCAUGACAUUUACUUAAUCUGUGCACUUUCAUCACUACCAUAUGGCCCUGCGUUGUAUUAGCUAGUUGGUGGGGUAACGGCAUACCAAGGCGACGAUACAUAGCCGGCCUGAGAGGGUGAUCAGCCACACUGGGACUGAGACACGGCCCAGACUCCUACGGGAGGCAGCAGUAGGGAAUAUUGGGCAAUGGACGGAAGUCUGACCGAGCAACGCCGCGUGAGUGAAGAAGGUUUUCGGAUUGUAAAGCUCUGUUGUAAGAGAAGAACGGGUGUGAGAGAGGAAAGUGCACAUUGGGAGGGUAUCAUAGAAGAAAGAGACGGCAAACUAGGUG